GCCUGGGUGGCUCAGUCGGUUAAGCGUCCGACUUCGGCUCAGGUCAUGAUCUUGCAGUUUGUGGGUUCGAGCCCCACAUCAGGCU
rnacentral:tRNA from 1 species